AUUGAACGCUGGCGGAAUGCUUUACACAUGCAAGUCGAACGGCAGCACGGGAGCUUGCUCCUGGUGGCGAGUGGCGAACGGGUGAGUAACACAUCGGAACAUGCCUAGUCGUGGGGGAUACCGUAGCGAAAGUUACGUUAAUACCGCAUACGUCCUGAGGGAGAAAGCAGGGGAUCGUAAGACCUUGCGCGAUUAGAGUGGCCGAUGCCUGAUUAGCUUGUUGGUGAGGUAAUGGCUCACCAAGGCGACGAUCAGUAGCGGGUCUGAGAGGAUGAUCCGCCACACUGGGAACUGAGACACGGUCCAGACUCCUACGGGAGGCAGCAGUGGGGAAUUUUUGGACAAUGGGGGCAACCCUGAUCCAGCCAUUCCGCGUGAGUGAAGAAGGCCUUCGGG
rnacentral:rRNA from 1 species